UACGGAGGGGGCUAGCGUUGUUCGGAAUUACUGGGCGUAAAGCGUGCGCAGGCGGUUCGCAAAGACAGGUGUGAAAUCCCCGGGCUUAACCUGGGAACUGCGCUUGUAACUAGCGGGCUAGAGUGCGGCAGAGGGGGGUGGAAUUCCACGGUGUAGCAGGUGAAAUGACGUAGAGAUGUGGAGGAACACCGAUGGCGAAGGCAGCCCCCUGGGCUAGCCACGUGACGCUCAUGCACAAAA
rnacentral:rRNA from 1 species